rnacentral:rRNA from 1 species
UGGGGAAUAUUGCACAAUGGAGGGAACUCUGAUGCAGCAACGCCGCGUGCGGGAUGACGGCCUUCGGGUUGUAAACCGCUUUCAGCCAUGACGAAGCUUUUGUGACGGUAGUGGUAGAAGAAGCACCGGCUAACUACGUGCCAGCAGCCGCGGUGAUACGUAGGGUGCGAGCGUUGUCCGGAAUUAUUGGGCGUAAAGAGCUUGUAGGCGGUUUGUCGCGUCGGUUGUGUAAACACGCAGCUUAACUGUGUGCCUGCUGUCGAUACGGGCUGACUAGAGGAGGGUAGGGGAGAAUGGAAUUCCCGGUGGAGCGGUGGAAUGCGCAGAUAUCGGGAGGAACACCAGUGGCGAAGGCGGUUCUCUGGACCUUUCCUGACGCUGAGAAGCGAAAGCGUGGGUAGCAAACAGG